GACGAACGCUGGCGGCGUACUUAACACAUGCAAGUCGAACGGAAAGGCCCUGCUUUUGUGGGGUGCUCGAGUGGCGAACGGGUGAGUAACACGUGAGUAACCUGCCCUUGACUUUGGGAUAACUUCAGGAAACUGGGGCUAAUACCGGAUAGGAGCUCCUGCUGCAUGGUGGGGGUUGGAAAGUUUCGGCGGUUGGGGAUGGACUCGCGGCUUAUCAGCUUGUUGGUGGGGUAGUGGCUUACCAAGGCUUUGACGGGUAGCCGGCCUGAGAGGGUGACCUGCCACAUUGGGACUGAGAUACGGCCCAGACUCCUACGGGAGGCAGCAGUGGGGAAUAUUGCACAAUGGGCGGAAGCCUGAUGCAGCAACGCCGCGUGCGGGAUGACGGCCUUCGGGUUGUAAACCGCUUUCGCCUGUGACGAAGCGUGAGUGACGGUAAUGGGUAAAGAAGCACCGGCUAACUACGUG
rnacentral:rRNA from 1 species